CGAUUUGGUCGCCCUAAAAGCGUCAAAAGGGAAUCGGGUGCAACUCCCGGACAGUCCCGCUGCUGUAAGUUCAACAACUUGCAUGUCAACAAUAUAGCCACUGCAUCUCGCCAUAGAUUUGUGGGAAGGCUGACAGGCAAGGAACGAGUCAGAAGACCUGCCAAAUCUGU
rnacentral:ncRNA from 1 species